GGAACAAAGUCGGAGAGGAGGUGGAGCAGGUGAACAGCUACCUGUCACGUUGUGCCCUGACUACCAAAUAUAUGUCCAAAGCAGCACGGGUGGACAUGGUUACUUUGCAUGCAAUGGGGUGGAACCACAAAAAAAGUCUCUCUCUACAUCAGGCACUUUCCACAAGAUAUGUGAAGACUUGUCAGAGACUCCAGGAUGAGACUGCAAGGCUAGCUGAACUCAAACAGAGCUACAUUGCACAGAUGAAUUGGUGUCACAGUGGCUCUCUGAUGUGAAGGAAUGGGCAGCUGAUGAGACACCAGAUACAUCUCAUGCCACUCAAGGCACCACACACAGAGGACUUCAGCAGUCAAUUGAGGGGCUUUACCUUAGUGUGAGGGAGCGGAAGCAAACCCUCUACCGCCAGAAUGACAGCAGCAAGUUUCGCCAUUGCCUUCGAAGGAAGCUGGCAGAAGACAAAAAGCUCCUCCUUCAGGAGAUGCAGAAAUACAAUGGUCUUGUCCCUGACUCUGCCACAAACAAUGAUGUAGCUGCUGUGGAGCAUUUCCUUACUGGAGAGAGCAGUGUGUCUCAAAUAUGGCCGUGGGAGGUUCAUGGCAGUGCCAACAUUUCAAUCAAGAAACAAUUGCAUGACCAAGUGAUGUUGGCGAUGCGACUGCAAGAGGAAAAAAACAUUUUGGUAUUGGAGAUGGCACAACACUGCACAUGGCUGCAGAGCCUGGCAGUGGUUCUCAAGAACAAGAUGGCCGAGGAGGACACAGGAAAUGAGGGACUUUGCUGUCUCUUAAGAAGAAGACUGUCAGAGGUGUCAGAACGGUUGCAAGUUGUCCUCCAACAGUACAAGACUGCUUUAGGUCCUGAGGCCUCUGUCCUUCUACAUGUUGAAGCAGAAGAUCCAAGUGGCCUCAGUAGUCCAGACACGAGUGAGGAUAAAGAGGAAAACACAGUUUAGAUGGAAGCUACACAAAGGACUGUGUUGAAGGAAAUGGACUCGCCCUAUAUCUGUAUAUUAUUAGUAUGCUGAUUGAUUAACCACAUCAAAAUAUGUAUGCAUCCUAUAUUGUUGAAAAUUCAACCUUUGUAUGUAGAUUACCAAGCAAUUUAGUAACCACAUUAAUGAUCCUUGAAGAUGCACAAACCUCUUAG